GAGCCAUGUGGUUUAAUUCGAUGCAACGCGAAGAACCUUACCUAGCCUUGACAUGUACGGAAGUCCGAUGAAAGUUGGAUGUGCCUUCGGGAACCGUAACACAGGUGCUGCAUGGCUGUCGUCAGCUCGUGUCGUGAGAUGUUGGGUUAAGUCCCGCAACGAGCGCAACCCUUGUCAUUAGUUGCUACCAUUUAGUUGAGCACUCUAAUGAGACUGCCGGUGACAAACCGGAGGAAGGUGGGGAUGACGUCAAGUCCUCAUGGCCCUUAUGGCUAGGGCUUCACACGUCAUACAAUGGUCGGUACAGAGGGUAGCCAAGCCGCGAGGUGGAGCCAAUCUCUUAAAGCCGAUCGUAGUCCGGAUCGCACUCUGCAACUCGAGUGCGNGAAGUNGGAAUCGC
rnacentral:rRNA from 1 species